UACGAAGGGGGCUAGCGUUGCUCGGAAUCACUGGGCGUAAAGCGCACGUAGGCGGCUUUUUAAGUCAGGGGUGAAAUCCUGGAGCUCAACUCCAGACUGCCUUUGAUACUAGAGCUUGAGUCCGGGAGAGGUGAGUGGAACUGCGAGUGUAGAGGUGAAAUCGUAGAUAUUCGCAAGAACACCAGUGGCGAAGGCGGCUCACUGGCCCGGUACUGACGCUGAGGUGC
rnacentral:rRNA from 1 species